rnacentral:lncRNA from 1 species
GGACGUGGAUAUAACAGUACAACAUAACAAAGAAGUAUUAAUAUCAGCUGAAAAAGGCUUAACUCAUCAGAUGGACAAAAAUACAAGUAGACGUGUUCGGGUAAUUGUACAUCCCAACAACAAAAAGACACUAGAAACAGAUCUGAGAGUACUCGCAGUUAUCUGACAGAUAGUUCAAAGCCACUAACAAUUAAUAAAAAAAAAUAGGCAUCUAAGACUAAACUAUCAAUCCGUACACAUCCAACACCUAAUGGAUUUAGUGUAAAGACGUCAUAAACAGUCAGUGAAAAAAAAACAUGUCUUGUGCAAUGCCAAGUUACAGGUUUACAUUUUAUGGAUAUAGGAUCUUAGAGGCAGUAUCCAAAACAUUGCAAUUAUAACAGAAAAUAAUAGUAUAUAGCUCAUUUUUACGUUAUUUUUUUAAAGAAGCGUUAUAUGGCGACAUAACUUAUAUUAACUUAAAAAUAAAGAGGAGCCUGUAAUUCAGUGGUCGCCGUUUGUUUAUGUGUUGCAUAUUAGUUUUUC